rnacentral:rRNA from 1 species
UACAGAGGUCUCAAGCGUUGUUCGGAUUCAUUGGGCGUAAAGGGUGCGUAGGCGGCGCGGUAAGUCGGGUGUGAAAUCUCGGAGCUUAACUCCGAAACUGCAUUUGAUACUGGCGUGCUUGAGGACUGGAGAGGAGACUGGAAUUCAUGGUGUAGCAGUGAAAUGCGUAGAGAUCAUGAGGAAGACCAGUGGCGAAGGCGGGUCUCUGGACAGUUCCUGACACUGAGGCACGAAGGCCAGGGGAGCAAACGGG